CAUUUUUGUUUGUCGAAGCGACGCGAAUAAACACCCUGGUUUUAUUCACGUCGUUUUUAAAUAGAAACGACACAAACGAAAUAUUUUGAAGUACUCCCGCCUUGCUUUCCCAUUUCCCACGUUUCAGCACAAUCUCCCUCUCUUUGAUAAUCACUCUAUAGCAAUGCUCUGAUGGACUGAUACUUCUUUAGAAAGGAAAAAGACUCCUCCAUCUACGUUCACAAUCUCUCUCUCUCUCUCUCUCUCUCUCUCUCUCUCUCUCUUCACAAGGAUCGAUCGUCUGAUCUUUCAGUACUCGAUCUCUUCCAUCUCAACCACGCCGACCCUAUAAUAGGCGAGCCCUUACUUCUCUCGGUCUCAAAAUCCCCAAUUCUGAAAACCAAAUCAGGACGAUCGAUUUAGCGUUCUGCAAUCGAACCAAUCUUCCGAUGGAGAUAAGUCGAUAUUUGAGGCAGCAUGCUCGCACAAUAGCCGGAAAGUCUCAGCUUUUUAUAAACUCUUAUGCUAAAGCUCUUGAGGAUUUAGAGCAGCUGUUGAAUUUCAUUGGUGUAGAACAAGGUUGAUAUACAACAGGACGUCAAGCGAAACAAUAUGAUAUUUUGGUCUUUUUGUAGGUUUUUUUAUUUUUGUAAUUAAGGAAUUGAAGCAAUGGUACCAUAUAUAUGUACAUUGCUUUUAGAUGUUUGUUUAUUUUGAAACAAUGGUUUUUUCAAUAGCGUAUAUAAAAUUGUGUAUAUAUGGUUUUGUUUUGGAUUAGUUGAAACAUUGUUUGAAGGUA